AGCAGCCGCGGUAAUUCCAGCUCCAAUAGCGUAUAUUAAAGUUGUUGCAGUUAAAAAGCUCGUAGUUGAAUUUCGGGGUCAGUAGGUUGGUCACGCCUCCGGUAUGUACUGGUCUCACUGAUUCCUCCUUCCUGAUGAGCCGUAAUGCCAUUAAUUUGGUGUUGCGGGGAAUCUGGACUGUUACUUUGAAAAAAUUAGAGUGUUUAAAGCAAGCUAACGCUUGAAUACAUUAGCAUGGAAUAAUGGAAUAGGACGUUCGAUCCUAUUUUGUUGGUUUCUAGGAUUGACGUAAUGAUUAAUAGGGAUAGUUGGGGGCAUUAGUAUUCAAUUGUCAGAGGUGAAAUUCUUGGAUUUAUUGAAGACUAACUACUGCGAAAGCAUUUGCCAAGGAUGUUUUCUAUUAAUCAAGAACGAAAGUUAGGGGAUCGAAGACGAUCAGAUACCGUCGUAGUCUUAACCAUAAACUAUGCCGACUAGGGAUCGGAUGAUGUUAAUUUUUAAUGACUCAUUCGGCGCCUUA
rnacentral:rRNA from 1 species